rnacentral:rRNA from 1 species
AUGGCUACCGGAAUGGCUUGGACAGUGUUGAUGGCAAAAAUCGUCUGCAGAGCAACACACUCAAUUCCUGAAGUGAUCAACAAUUUAGCCGGUCUUUUCUUUUGCUGUCUUUUGCUGUAUGAGGAACAGAACGGCCUUCUUGCUGAUCUCAAAGAAAACUUAAUUCUUCUGGACGAAUCUUCAACGGAUCAACGGCAAACGGAACCUAAGCGGCGUCUAGGUCCUGUUUUCCGGGUGCAGCGGCGUAGGGUUGGCUUACUGCCACGGCGAUCUCUAAACUUGCAGGCAAGAACAAAGGAGUCGAUGGGGAAAAACGAACGAAAAGAAAAGCUAUGCGUGGAAAUAAAGUAG